GACGAACGCUGGCGGCGUGCUUAACACAUGCAAGUCGAACGAAGUGGCGAACGGGUGAGUAAAGCGUAAUCAACCUGCCCUUCAGAGGGGGACAAAAGUAGGAAACGACUGCUAAUACCGCAUACUGAAGGAGGGGAUUGGGUAUGAUUGGCUAGUUGGAGGGGUAACGGCCCACCCAGGCGAUGAUCAGUAGCCGGUCUGAGAGGAUGAACGGCCACAUUGUGACUGAGACACGGCCCAGACUCCGACGGGAGGCAGCAUGGGGGAAUCUUCCGCAAUGGACGAAAGUCUGACGGAGCAACGCCGCGUGAGUGAUUACGGCCUUCGGGUUGUAAAGCUCUGUUAUUCGGGACGCGGUACCGGAAUAGAAAGCCACGGCUAACUACGUGCCAGCAGCCGCGGUAAUAC
rnacentral:rRNA from 1 species